GGCGAGGUGGCCGAGUGGUUAAGGCGACAGACUAGAACGAAAUGCCCUGUCGUCAGACGGACACCUCCUUCAGAUAUCUGUUGGGUUCGCCCGCGUAGGUUCAAAUCCUGCCCUCGUCG